AUGUACAGGAUAACGACUGCUGAGGGAGAUCUGGAUCGGUUCAUGAGUCUGUAUAGAUGUAAAUGUAAGCACUCGCUGCUUGGACUGGAAGCUUUGCAGGUCUGUUUUGCUAACUUGCUGUAUCUGUCUGCAUCUGUGCUGCCUUAUUAUCCUCCUGUCUUCUUGUCUUGCAGGUGGCAGGCAGAGGGGAGACCAAAUCAGUCGCCAACGGUAUGGGACACUAAUGUCUUGAAGGAGCCACAAAAGCUGGGGACCACGACAAUCCAAGACUCUUCCUUUGACUUUGUCUUAAGAACCAAAUAAUGAUCAUACUCCCUAGAGGGACCCCAUGAAAACGGAGGGACAGGAGAGACGCUGUCCAAGCACUGUACCAAAACAGCAUCUUUUUUUUUGUACGGUUGCCACGAAUAGUGCCUUUGCACAAUGAUUUUUUUUUGCUUUCUAAAAGAAACAAAAUGCUGUGAAAUUUGGACAUUUGUAAUUACUAUUACUAAUUACUUAAUACAAUCCUGGAGGAGGAAAAAAAAAACAAAAACAAAUUAAAUUUAGAUUUAUGUGUGUUACUCCAUGCCGACAGUUUUGAUAGAGACAGAGUAGAUGACUUAAACGUUUCCACAUUCCAAAGAGAUGGGUGAAAUCUGUUCUCUCCCUCCUACAGUACAUGUUCCAUCUCUUUUUUUAAUUUAUAUUUAAAGCAAAAGCUUCACACAUUGCUAUUUUAUUCAACGUUCACCAGUUCAGGAUAGAAAUAUAAGCACUUCUAGAAUUUAGCUGAUUUCACUUUUAUUAUGUCUUACCAAUAGUGCAGCAAUGGUCUGAGUAAUAUAUGUUAGCACAUGUGAUGUUUUUGAAUAUGACCUAUCAUACUGUAUCUUAUAUAACAUCUUUAUAAUCAUAACAAAAGGUAUUUUUUGCUUUUUUUUUGUAUCCAGAAACUAUUCACCAACAGGCAGUUAAUUUCGGUGGUGAUAGGAGUGUUGAAUAUUCAGAAGGCCAUUAUGACUUUUAUUACCCUAUAUGUCAUUUUAUUUAUGUUUUAAUGUGUUUUGUCUUUUCUAUUUCUAGCUGUUAUUGUAGCUUUUGUACCUGUUUGGAUCACUUUAAAAUCUUCAGACAUUCCUCUUUAAAAAGCAGGUGCACAAGGUGCCUUUGCUGCUUAAAAGCUGUAGGUUUUAUAAUGUAGGAAAUCGGCAAACCAACCCUCUUUUUUUAAUUCUACCUUUAACUUUCUUUAUUGCCUCUAUGCACACUCUUAUGCUCAGCGAUCAUUUUCUAAUUGAGGGCAUACAAAGUAAAACCAGGGUGCCUAAGCAUAUAGCAAGAUACUACAAGGAUAUUUACCACUAUGUAAUUCUUCUGGCCUUAUGAUUGCAAUGAAAACAUUUAUGACAGCUGAGGUACAGUACAUGAUAGCCUCAAAGCAACUCAGUAUGAUAUUAAGACUUGUAAUUUUCAUGUUUCUUUUUCACUGAUAUGGUUUUACAGUAAGUAUAGUAAGCACAUUCCCUUUCAUAGUCUUUGCGCGAUGCAAGCUUUGAUAUUAUUAACGGUUUGCUGGGGCAUUAAAUUGAUCAAUGUUACUGCUCAAAAGUCUGACAAUCACAUUCCAUGGCUCCUGAAAAGAGCAGGGGAGCUUGACCAAAAUACUUUUAAGCGUGAUUUAAUGUGACAUUUAUGUUUUUUUUUUAAUACAGUGGUUUCAUAAUGCCGUAUUGUUUUUUUUUUUUUUACAACCUUGUGUCCAUUUUAUGUUUUUUAAUGUUCUUCUAUUUCCAUGUUUAACCAGACACUUGUUAUUUGUGUAGCGCUAAGCCUAUGCAAAUCACACUAUCUGUAGUCUCUCUAAACACUCCCAAUGUCAUACAAGUGGGCAGUUACCAACUGGAUGAAUGUUUUAAACAUUGUACCCUUGACUCAACAACAGCAAUAAAGACAUUGAGGUAUUCCACAUUGUUGAGUUUUCUUCCAUAACUCCACCACUCUACUACCACAUUAUAUUCUGUGUGUACACGUGUUAAAACAAUUAGUUGAUUAUGGAAACAUAAAGCUGACAAAAUACCUAUCAGUAAGUUUUAUAUGGUUAGCUAAAUAAUUUAAGUCAGAGUGAAAAGAAAGUUAAAGCUUCAUAAUUUUUCCUUUGAAAAAUAAAGCAAAACACCUUCUGCAUUACCACCAAUCAUUCAAUAGAAUAAAUUAAAACUAUUUUUUUCCCACUCAUUUUAUCUUUCACGGUCUAAUUUUUUAGGGGUGGAUCUAGGAAAUAUAUUCAUGAAGUGGCAAGAGGGUGGCCUGGAGACUUCAAUGGAUGGCAGAAAUAUAUGCUUAUUUAAUCACAGUCAAUUAAUUUAAUUGCUUAUUUCUAAUCUACCAACACCACAAAUCAGGCAUUUGCACCAUUCUAGAUCUGCCCCUGCUCAUUUUAUUCUUCAACUUCAUUUUCCUAUUUUGGAGGUUCUUGGCACAAUCAUAAAAUCUGUUUUCCCUACACAAUAUUCCCUUUUCCACACCGAAUUUCCAAUUUUCCAUAGCUUAGCUGAAAACACUGGUGGCUACGCACACUGAGCACCAGCCUUUUUCAGCUAGCUACAUAACUGAAGCUAACUUUUGUUAUAUAAAUGACACCAGCCAAGGCAGCAAUAUUUUUUUUCCAGGAGGGUGAAGUCAUGAGCCGCCCUACGCCUGUUCUUGAACUUUGUAACUCAGUGGUUCCCAGCCUUUUUCCUUAAGGGCCGCAAUAACUGCAAGAAGUUUUCUAAAACAGGCAAUUUGAAUAAAUUCUGAGCAAAUAAUUUCCUGUGAAUAUUAAACCACAGAUGAGUUUACAAUUCAUGAGUUAAUAAUCAUACAUACUAAAUAGGCUUUCUUUUCGAUAAAUUCAGUGUUUUCUUCUCUCUGAGACACCAUUAUUCUUUUAAUGAGGCUGUUUAGCAGAGAGGGAAGGCUCUGUAUAUGUAGCUUGUGUUCACGUCUUCAGAGUUUAUUUAUGUUAAAUAAUAAUCUAAACUUUAAAAAUAACAAUUUCAUUAAGUUUUCCUCACAGAAAUGAAUGAAAUGUUGAGAUAUAGGCCUUAUGUGUAUAAGUUUUUAGCUUUGCAACCCCUAAUGGGAAGGUUGGUUGGGA
rnacentral:lncRNA from 15 species